rnacentral:lncRNA from 1 species
UUUGAACAACUGAGGUUAAGCAAAAGCACGGAAUCAUGAAAAUUAUUCUUUGAAAUGGCAAAGAUUUCUGUGGCUGGAUCAUGGGAUUUAUUGAGUGGAGCGAUUUCUCCUCAGAAGACCAGACACAUGUGAGCUAUGCGAAUCCAUGGAAGUGUCGUUAUCUUUCUAUUUUUUCCUCGCUUAUAUGAAGGACUAUAGGUCAGGAACUGUGCAAGAGGAGGAAUGUGCAUAUGUUGGGGUGGGGAUAGAUAGGGGACGUCUGGAAUGGAUAAUUCAUUUCAAACUCAAAAAAGCAGACUGAGAGAAGACAUAGGGAGAACUGACAGAGAAACCAUAAAGCUGGAAAAAGAUUAGAGAAAACCACAAGAAGACCUGUUUAACCCUAAUUUCUGUGUUUUUUCUGAUGAAGAUGUAGUAUUAAUUGUUUCAGAGUUCAUCAGAGAUCCACGUAUCUUAAAUCUGAGAUAUAAGCCAGUUGAAAACAAACAUUCCACUUGAGUGGCCUUUUAAUGACACAAAGGCUAAAGGGAAAAAAAAAAAGAUUUGCAUAGCAAUAACUAUCAUUGCUUUAAAGCUGCAUAGACUUUUCAGAGCCCUGAACAACCACCAAAUCAGGAAUUCAAACCGCACCCUGGGAAGGCUGGGCUUCUUUUUGUUAAAAAGAAAAACCAAAGAUCUCUGAGAAAGCUUCUUAUGUCUCUUCCCUG